rnacentral:misc_RNA from 1 species
UCGAAACAGAACGCCCGGGGGGAAGGGAGAGCACGGACUGUCGCACGUCCUCGUGCACGUCGCUCUUUCGACCCUUCGAGGCUUCGACCUUCUCAACACCCGUGUGCACCCACUGUAGGUCCUUCGGGAUCUACGUCUCCUUUCCGACUCGCAUGUCUACAGAACGUAUUCGUCGUGUCCCGGCCUCGACCCCCAGGGUCCCGCGUCGGCGACCGCAAAACCUACAAUA